rnacentral:rRNA from 1 species
AACGAACGCUGGCGGCAGGCCUAACACAUGCAAGUCGAGCGCCCUUUCGGGGGAGCGGCGGACGGGUGAGUAACGCGUGGGAAUAUGCCCUUCUCUACGGAAUAGCCUCGUGAAACUGAGAGUAAUACCGUAUACGCCCUGUGGGGGAAAGGUUUAUCUGGGAAGGAUUAGCCCGCGUUGGAUUAGGUAGUUGGUGGGGUAAUGGCCUACCAAGGCGACGAUCCAUAGCUGGUUUGAGAGGAUGAUCCGACACACUGGGGCUGAGGCACGGCCCAGACUCCUACGGAAGGGAGGAGAGGGGGAUGGAAGACAAUGGCGGCAGUGCUGAUGUUGCCAUGCGGGGAAAGUUAUGAUAUGCGUAGGGUACUAAAGCUCAUGCAGCUGUGCAGGUAAUGACGGUACCAGAACAAGAAGCCACGGCUAACUACGUG